GGGGGGGUGGGGGGAUGGGAACAGGGAUGGGAUUGGGAUGGAGACAUUGGGAUUGGGAUUGGGAUGGGAUGGAUUGGGAACGAUGGGAUUGGGAUUGGGAUGGGGAUGGGAUGGGGAUGGGAUUGGGAUUGGGGUGGGAUUGGGAUUGGGAUGGGAUUGGGAUGGGGAUGGGAUGGGGAUGGGAUUGGGACAGAUUGGGAUUAGGAUGGGGAUGGGAUUGGGAUUGGGGUGGGAUUGGGAUUGGGAUGGGAUGGGGAUGGGAUUGGGAUUGGGAUUGGGGUGGGAUUGGGAUUGGGAUGGGAUGGGGAUGGGAUUGGGACAGAUUGGGAUUGGGAUGGGAACAAUGGGAUUAGGAUGGGAUGAGGAUGGGAUGGAGACAGAUUGGAACUGGGAUGGGGAUGGGAAUGGGAUAGGGAUGGGAU
ensembl:lncRNA